rnacentral:rRNA from 1 species
GAUGAACGCUGGCGGCGUGCCUAAUACAUGCAAGUCGAGCGAACAGACGAGGAGCUUGCUCCUCUGACGUUAGCGGCGGACGGGUGAGUAACACGUGGAUAACCUACCUAUAAGACUGGGAUAACUUCGGGAAACCGGAGCUAAUACCGGAUAAUAUAUUGAACCGCAUGGUUCAAUAGUGAAAGACGGUUUUGCUGUCACUUAUAGAUGGAUCCGCGCCGCAUUAGCUAGUUGGUAAGGUAACGGCUUACCAAGGCGACGAUGCGUAGCCGACCUGAGAGGGUGAUCGGCCACACUGGAACUGAGACACGGUCCAGACUCCUACGGGAGGCAGCAGUAGGGAAUCUUCCGCAAUGGGCGAAAGCCUGACGGAGCAACGCCGCGUGAGUGAUGAAGGUCUUCGGAUCGUAAAACUCUGUUAUUAGGGAAGAACAAAUUUGUAAGUAACUAUGCACGUCUUGACGGUACCUAAUCAGAAAGCCACGGCUAACUACGUG